rnacentral:misc_RNA from 1 species
AGCAGCCGCGGUAAUUCCAGCUCCAAUAGCGUAUAUUAAAGUUGUUGCAGUUAAAAGCUCGUAGUUGAAUUUCGGGGUUAGUAGGUUGGUCAUGCCUCUGGUAUGUACUGGUCUCACUGAUUCCUCCUUCCUGAUGAGCCGUAAUGCCAUUAAUUUGGUGUUGCGGGGAAUUUGGACUGUUACUUUGAAAAAUUGAGUGUUUAAAGCAAGCUAAUGCUUGAAUACAUUAGCAUGGAAUAAUGAAAUAGGACGUUCGAUCCCAUUUUGUUGGUUUCUAGGAUUGACGUAAUGAUUAAUAGGGAUAGUUGGGGGCAUUAGUAUUCAAUUGUCAGAGGUGAAAUUCUUGGAUUUAUUGAAGACUAACUACUGCGAAAGCAUUUGCCAAGGAUGUUUUCAUUAAUCAGGAACGAAAGUUAGGGAUCGAAGACGAUCAGAUACCGUCGUAGUCUUAACCAUAAACCUAUGCCGACUAGGAAUCGGAUGAUGUUAAUUUUUAAUGACUUCAUUCGUCCG